CAGCCAGCCCGGCCUUGGGCGGCCCAGCUGCGCGGUGAGCCCAGCUCGCACCUGGCCUAGCCCUGCCCACGGCCCACCAGCCUCCUCAGCAUGCCCCGCCCUGCCUCCUCCAUCGACCUGGGCUAGCCCAGCAUGGCCAGCAGCUUGGGAUAGCAAGGAUGCACGGCGUUCUUUUAUCAUUUGUUUUCAUCCGUAGUUGAACGCUCCUCUUCUACACGAUGAUUUAAUAUAUUGUUCUAUUGUGUUGUUCAUGUUGUAGCUUGUGGCGAGUGUAAGCCAAUUUCAUAUACC